rnacentral:lncRNA from 1 species
UGAACUCAACUUAAUCAUCUUCCUUCUCUGCUCCUUCACAACUCAUACACCUCAAAUCUGAAGAUAGAGAAGUGAAUAGGAGGAAGGGAUAAUGUCAUCGUGUUAAUUUCCAUUAUUUGGAGGGGGAGAAAGUGAAUAUUAGGAAGCAAUAAUGUUAAUAGUUUCUUUGUUGUUGGGGUGUAAAAUAAGAAAAUGGAAAUAAGGAGCACAACAGUAAAGAAAAAAAUAUACUUCAACUUCAUAUCUGCUUACUGGUUUGAAAAUACUCCACUCUGAUUCCCCACUUCCUCCUCCUUCUACUUCUCACUCUCACCAAUCAUGCGGAUGAGGUCAGUAAGGUGGUGUUUGGGGGUCAGGUCACUGAUGAAAAGGUUAAGAGCUCAAACAAACGGUGAGAUCUACUGUUUUCUUCUCUCCUUAUUCUUGCUUAUUCAAGCUUGUGAUUAUAUUCUCUUUUAGUUCUUAUUAUACAUUAAAACUUAUUUUUUGAAUUAUAUAAAUCCUUUUAUAUUUAGAUAUUCUGAACACACAUUUUUCUUUUCAAAAUUUCAUUACAAGAUGUUUGCAUUAAGUCCUAUGAUUAUAAGAUGUUUACAUUAAGAUCUAUGACUAUAAGAUGUUUGCAUUAAGUCCUCGAAUUAUAAGAUGUUUGGGGGUCUACCUAUUGUGAUUAUACGAUGGCCACAGACAUGCCACCGCAUGUGUAUUUGGCACUUGUAUCAUAAUGCACUGAAGAAACUUUGUUGUUGUAUUUGGAAUGUUUCAAGAUUUCAAUGAAUAUAUUUAUGAGUAUGAAGAAGAAGAAGAAUUUCUUGAAGCUUUAUGCUUAAGAAAUAUGGUCUAAUGGAUGGUUGGAGUAAACAUUAGGUUUGAAGGAGAAAUGGGCUUUAGUUUAUGGUUGGGAGAAUUUUUGUACUGAUAUAACAACCACACAACAUAGUGAAAGUAUGAAGAAUUUGAUUAAAAAAUAUAUAAGUUAUGAGCAUGAUUUAUUGAAAUUUUUCAAUACCUUUCAUAGACUCAUUGAGGAUCGUUGUUAUGAGGAGUUAAAGACAAAUUUUAAAGCAACUCAAAGAAGUUUGACUUUGUCAUUUGAUGCGGAGAUUUUAAGGUAUGCAAGAACAAUCUCUACACACGACAAUAGGCAGAUACAUGAUAAUCUAAUACUUGGGAAAAUAUGAAUUAACAAAAAAAUGUAUACAAAAAUUGCAAAACAUAGCAUCACUCAUCAUCCUAUAUGGAUACUCUUCUGGAACAUGCUUGAGAAGUUUUACCUGCAACUCAAACGCAUCAACACCCCGAAGCACAUCACGGAUCCAAGUGACCUCACUCUUAUCACAAGCACAAUUCCACACUAAAUCUUUUAACUCCUCCUCCGAGAACACCCUAUCCAAUUAAGAUAUUUGAGAUUCUGAAAGGAUAGAGAAUUCCACACCAUCAAUCAUAGGAUUAGAUCUUUGAACGCAAUUGAACAAAUAUUUAAAGUAACUAGUGACCCCAUAUGAAAUGUCCUUCUCAUCGGCACACCAUACCCCAUCAAUCCAAACCCCUACUAAUUGUUUCCUCCAACGCCUAGUAUUAAUACAAGCAUAGAAAUAGCUAGUAUUAGCAUUACCCUCCUUCAGCCACCUGUUUCUCGAUUUUUGAAGCAAGAAACUCUCCUUCAUAUUAGCAGUAUUCCACCACUCCGCAAGAAGAUUCUUUUUCAACAAAAUUUGAUCCAUUUCCAAAUCUGCUAGUUCACCAUCACAAUCAAUACUAAGGAUGGCCUUAGAAAUAUCAACCAGUUUACUGUCCACACAACCAAAAGAGUCUAUAUUUUCAAGCUUUCAGCUUCAACUUCAAACAUUUGAGCUUCCCUUUUGAAAGUGCAAAGUGUCAAGGAUAGCACUAGCAUAUCUUUGCCUAUCUUUUGAUGAAGACAAUGUUCUAACAAAGCUUGAAGAUGGCUCAACAAUCAAUAGACCUUAUGCUCAUUUGGUCAUAUCUAGACUAGGGUGUAAAUUGAGUCUAUAAUCUAAGUAGUUUGGGAUGUGUGCCGUAGUAAGUGAGUAUAGGUUAGGUGAACCUAGAUUCUAGUCUCUUAAGCCAUCUUAAUUGUCAUAUCAUAUUCAUGAGACAUAUUGUCUAGUUAAUUGUAUGUUCAUGCAUCUAUCAUACAUGUUAUAUGUGCAUAUUAGGCAUAAUAUAAUUGUUAAAACAUGUAUAUAUAUUGUGUAUAACAUAUGAGAAGUUUACCAUUUGAAACAUAUGCAUAAAUGUUCCAGUUAAUCAAUUAACGUGGUAACUUAAUCGAUUAAUUCAACUGCUUUUCUUUUAAAUAUGUGUUUUCUGUUUCAACUGAAUUCUGUGUCAUUCUGUUGCCCCGUUAAUCGAUUAAAGAGAAGCCUUAAUCGAUUAACUAGUCUGUUAUGUGUUAUAACUGAAAUCUGUUUUAACUGUUUUUGCAACGAAUGUAACCGCCUAUUCUCUAUGCUAUAAAUACAAGGCAUUGUUCAGAAAACCAUAGCAUUACAUUAUAUUAUAUAGGGUUGUUUAAAGUUGCAUGCGUGAGAAGAGAGAUUAUGGUGGUUUAAUUGCUGUUAUAUGCUUACUAUUUCUGCAUAAUUUUGUAUCCAUUCUUAUCUUGCUCACAUGCUCAUGCAUUAUAUUUUGUUAGAGAGAAAUUAUUUGUAUACUGAUAUUGAUUAACUCAUUUGAAUCUUUAUGGCUUAAGUGGUUAGUAAAAGGGUUAAUCUUUGAGUGUUUUUCUUGUCAUAUUAUAAGCAUUAUUGUACUUAGUAUAUCUUGCUGUUUAACGUGUUUUUGUGUAGUAUGAAUUUGUCUCUUGGUGUGAGAUCACCACAGAGAUUGAGGUUCUUCACCAAGGCUAGGAGUUGUUGAUUUGAGGAUAAGAAUCUUGGUUGGGGCUAGUUCGCGAGAAAGGUUUUCUCAGAGGCGAAUGGUAGAGUCAAACCAAGGAUUUAGAGGUCCUAGAUUUCAAGAAGGGAGCGUCCUAUGUGCUGGUAAUUGAAUUGGUAUUUGUAUCCAUAUUUCAAUAUUGUGAAGAAAGAAAAUCUCCCUAAUCCAUAAGGGGAGGCCUGGAUGUAGUUUGCAGUGGACUGCAAACGAACUAGGAUAAAAAUCCUUUGUACAAUGUUCUUUCUCUGUUUAUCGUUUUUAUGUUUCUUGCCAUUAUAAAUUGAAUCAUUAAUUGAAAAGUUGGAUAUUUGUUUACUGCC